CCCUUAGAUGAUUUGGGCUGCACGCGCGCUACACUGACCCUAACAAUGAGCAACUGUCUGGCCUGAGAUGGCUGGGUAGCCUUUUCAACCCAUGUCAUGAUUGGGCUAGAUUUUUGUAAGUCUUGAUCUCUAACGAGGAAUCCCUAGUAUGCGUGAAUCAUCAAUCCAUGCAGAUUAUGUCCCUGCCCUUUGUACACACCGCCCGUCGCUCCUACCGAUUGAGUGGUCCGGUGAGGCUUUGGGAUCUGAGCGGAAAGAGCGUUUCGCUGUUUCUGCUCGGAAAACUCAGUCGAACCUUAUCAUUUAGAGGAAGGAGAAGUCGUAACA
rnacentral:rRNA from 1 species